rnacentral:rRNA from 1 species
UACAGAGGGGGCAAGCGUUGUUCGGAAUUACUGGGCGUAAAGGGCGCGUAGGCGGCCGCCUAAGUCAGACGUGAAAUCCCCCGGCUUAACCGAGGAACGACGCAUGAUACUGGCAAGCUAGAGUACCAAAGAGGGGGGUGGAAUUCCCGGUGUCGCGGUGAAAUGCGUAGAUAUCGGGAGGAACACCGGUGGCGAAGGCGGCCCCCUGGUUGGAUACUGACGCUGAGACGCGAAAGCGUGGGGAGCAAACAGG